rnacentral:rRNA from 1 species
UCGGAUCAGGUAGGAAUACCCGCUGAACUUAAGCAUAUCAAGCCGGGG